AUUGAACGCUGGCGGAAUGCUUUACACAUGCAAGUCGAACGGCAGCACGGGGGCAACCCUGGUGGCGAGUGGCGAACGGGUGAGUAAUACAUCGGAACGUGCCCAGUCGUGGGGGAUAACGUAGCGAAAGCUACGCUAAUACCGCAUACGAUCUCUGGAUGAAAGCGGGGGACCGCAAGGCCUCGCGCGAUUGGAGCGGCCGAUGGCAGAUUAGGUAGUUGGUGGGGUAAAGGCUCACCAAGCCGACGAGCUGUAGCUGGUCUGAGAGGACGACCAGCCACACUGGGACUGAGACACGGCCCAGACUCCUACGGGAGGCAGCAGUGGGGAAUUUUGGACAAUGGGCGAAAGCCUGAUCCAGCCAUUCCGCGUGCAGGAUGAAGGCCCUCGGGUUGUAAACUGCUUUUGUACGGAACGAAAAGGCUCUUUCUAAUACAGAGGGCUCAUGACGGUACCGUAAGAAUAAGCACCGGCUAACUACGUGCCAGCCGCCGCCGUAAGAC
rnacentral:rRNA from 1 species